AACCUAGCACACCUGCGGUGUGUACCUGCGGAAGGAUCAUUACAUGAUUUAACAGGGAGUGGAGGCUUCGGCCAAAGCUCUGUCUGAACCCAUGUCUUUUGCGUACUUCUUGUUUCCUCGGUGGGCUUGCCCGCCGAUAGGACAACCUUAAACUCUUUGCAAUUGCAAUCAGCGUCUGAAAAACUAUAAUAGUUACAACUUUCAGCAACGGAUCU
rnacentral:misc_RNA from 1 species